ensembl:lncRNA
AGGGCUGUUGCUAGAACUUGCAACAUUCUGACUGGAUUACCAAUUAACCAAAGCGUCCGUUGCAAUGCUGGUUGCUUGGUUACCUUUAAGCUGUAUUUUAUGGUGACAUUGCUCGCUACUUAUGAAAGCACCACUGAUCUCGACAAGGGGUGCAACUUUGAUAGGGGGGCAGAGAAAUUCACAAUUCAGGGUGUCUUCGUCAGACAGAGAGACCCAUACAGAAAGAGAGAGGAAGAAAGUGAGAAAUGAGAAGGUGGGAAAAGAGUGAAAGACAGAGAUAGAGAUGAAGAGCAAUCACAUGUGCCUGCGGGGGAAGGAUGGCCAGACACACAGGAGGGUGAUUUUCACUAAGGAGGAAAAGGAGACGGUGCUGACAGAGAUGCAUGCUGGACAUUUCGGAGUGAAGCGAAUGACUGCCAAAAUCAUCCUACGCUUCUUCUGGCAUGGGAUUGUCAAGGAUGUGGACAGCUGGGGUUACCUCGUUGGAAGCCAACAUUCUUCUCCAGUUGGAGCAGUUGGACGGUCAAUCCACUGCAAGCCCUGACUCCUUACACCUCGGUGAAGCCCAUGAGACAAAAUGAAAUUCUGCAUCUAGUGAUUUCUGAUUGCCAAACAAUCUGCACACUCAUCCCAUCCCCUCCAUUUCAUUACAUAAUCUAAAGCUACUGUUAUUGUUAUGUUGUCAUUAUCUGCUAAUACAGUUUGCUAGCCGUAUCAUACUGGGCAUAUAAUAUGUGAGAUACGCAGAUGAACUAAAAACCACUAGCACUGCAAACACUCAGAACAAAGAAGCAGCAGUGCCUGGACUUCGCAGUCUCCCUCUUCAAGUCCCACUUCCAAGACUGCCUGUUAAGAACAAGUGACAGGCAGAACCUCCCAAUCACACAGCACCCACCUCUUUAUUCCACACACCAGAAUUAAGUAUUUCAGUCUGAUUGCCAUGUGAGUGUACAAAAAAGUAUCUGUGAAAAUAAAUUAAUGACACAACUGUACCAAAAAAAACGUUUCAUGUAUUAAAAUCUUAAAUAUUGCCAG